rnacentral:rRNA from 1 species
UACAGGGGGUGCAAACGUGGCUCGGAAUCAUUGGGCGUAAAGCGCACGUAGGCGGUUCGUUAUGUCGGAUGUGAAAGCCCUUGGCUUAACCGAGGAAGUGCAUCCGAAACUGGCGAGCUAGAGUACGAAAGAGGAUCGCGGAAUUCCCGGUGUAGAGGUGAAAUUCGUAGAUAUCGGGAGGAACACCGGUGGCGAAGGCGGCGAUCUGGGUCGAUACUGACGCUGAGGUGCGAAAGCGUGGGGAGCAAACAGG